rnacentral:rRNA from 1 species
AUCCUACGGGAGGCAGCAGUGGGGAAUAUUGGGCAAUGGGCGCAAGCCUGACCCAGCAAUGCCGCGUGAAGGAAGAAGGCCCUCGGGUUGUAAACUUCUUUUAUCAGGGACGAAGGAUGUGACGGUACCUGAUGAAUAAGCUCCGGCUAACUACGUGCCAGCAGCCGCGGUAAUACGUAGGGAGCAAGCGUUAUCCGGAUUUACUGGGUGUAAAGGGCGUGCAGCCGGGAGUGCAAGUCAGAUGUGAAAUCCCGCGGCUCAACCGCGGAACUGCAUUUGAAACUGUGCUUCUUGAGUGCUGGAGG